rnacentral:tRNA from 1 species
GGAUUAGUGUAACGGUAACACACCGGACUCUGACUCCGUUUUCGGGGGUUCGAAUCCCUCAUCC